rnacentral:rRNA from 1 species
CAGCCGCCGCGGUAACACGUAGGUGGCAAGCGUUGUCCGGAAUUAUUGGGCGUAAAGGGCUCGCAGGCGGUUUCUUAAGUCUGAUGUGAAAGCCCCCGGCUCAACCGGGGAGGGUCAUUGGAAACUGGGAAACUUGAGUGCAGAAGAGGAGAGUGGAAUUCCACGUGUAGCGGUGAAAUGCGUAGAGAUGUGGAGGAACACCAGUGGCGAAGGCGACUCUCUGGUCUGUAACUGACGCUGAGGAGCGAAAGCGUGGGGAGCGAACAGGAUUAGAUACCCCGGUAGUCCCUGUCUCUUAUCC